AUUGAACGCUGGCGGAAUGCUUUACACAUGCAAGUCGAACGGUAGAGGGGGCAACCCCUUGAGAGUGGCGAACGGGUGAGUAAUAUAUCGGAACGUGCCCAGUCGUGGGGGAUAACGUAGUGAAAAUUACGCUAAUACCGCAUACGAUCUAAGGAUGAAAGCGGGGGAUCGCAAGACCUCGCGCGAUUGGAGCGGCCGAUAUCAGAUUAGGUAGUUGGUAGGGUAAAGGCCUACCAAGCCAACGAUCUGUAGCUGGUCUGAGAAGACGACCAGCCACACGGGAACUGGGACACGGUCCAGACUCCUACGGGAGGCAGCAGUGGGGAAUUUUGGACAAUGGGCGAAAGCCUGAUCCAGCCAUUCCGCGUGCAGGAUGAAGGCCCUCGGGUUGUAAACUGCUUUUGUACAGAACGAAAAGGUCUCUAUUAAUACUAGGGGCUCAUGACGGUACUGUAAGAAUAAGCACCGGCUAACUACGUGCCAGCCGCCGCCGUAA
rnacentral:rRNA from 1 species